UUUUUGUUUUGACUAUAUUAGUGUGAAUUACCUCUUUAUCAGUAGAAAAAGGAAGAAAAAAAAAAAAAGAAUAAAGAAGAAAGAAGGAUCUCAGUGUAAGUAGGGGAGCAGGAAGGUCAAUUUUGCUAUUUUGUGUAGUUGGAGAAGUACUUAUAUUACUUAUAUUCUUUUUUGUAUAUUUGUUUUGUCUAUAUUAGUGUGAGAUACCUUAUUUAUCAGUAGAAAAAAAAAGAGAGGAGAAAGAAGGAUCUUUGUGUAAGUGGAGGAGCAGGAAGGCCAGGUGGUAGUUGUUGGUGUGAAAAAUCUGUAGUUGGUGUUUUAGUUUAGUCCAGUGAACAAGUAAAUGGCAUCUAGUUAGUAUUGUUUAUUGAGGCCUUGAACUGCGGAGAUACUGGUUAUAUGCAGUUAAAUUCAUCCAAAGAUUUAGCUGAAACUAUGAUCACUGGGGUGCCUGGUCCUUCUGGUCAAUGGAUCCAGCAAGAAUCAUCUCAGCCUGUUAUCUUGAGUGAUGGCAUAUCUUUACACAAUAAUGUAAAUAACCAUGUACCUGUACAGACUGGUGAGGUAUAUUCUAUGGAAUUUCUUCAAGAUCCUUCUUCAAGAGUAGUUCCUAUUGUGUCCGGCGUUACUGGGAUGCAUGAUAGGAGAGCUGUGCCUCAAAGUAAGCAAAGCCAACAUUCCGGUUAUGAAGAGCUCACAAGACUUCUUGGGUUGACUAGAAUGGAUUCUGACAUUUCUUCUACAAGAGGGUCUAGUACAGAACUUGAAAAUGGUAUUUAUGUAGAGAAUGAACUUACAUAUAGUCAGAAAGUUGGCUCUUCUGGGCAUGUCCCUGUGGGAGCUACUUCAGGGACUAAAUCUGAAUCUUCAAAGUCAUUAAAAUCUUCUGUAUUAGGAACGUCAGACUGUUCUACAGGGAAAAUAAAAUUCCUAUGCAGUUUUGGUGGUAGAAUAUUGCCUCGACCUAGUGAUGGAAAGCUCAGAUACGUUGGUGGAGAUACACGUAUCAUUUCCAUAGGGAAGAAUAUUUCAUGGGAAGAACUUAUGAAGAAAACAUUGGCCAUCUGUAACCAGCCUCACACUUUCAAAUACCAGCUUCCAGGAGAGGAUCUUGACGCCCUAAUAUCCGUCUCUUCUGACGAAGAUCUUCAGAAUAUGAUAGAGGAAUAUUUUGGCCUCGAGAAGCUUGGGGGCUCCCAAAGGCUCCGGAUAUUUUUGGUUCCUUUAACUGAAUCUGAAAACUCAUGCCCUGUAGAUGCUGCUACUGUUCAACCGACUGACCCUGAUUAUCAAUAUGUUGUUGCUGUUAAUGGUAUUGUUCAAGGGGAUUCUUCUACUCAGGAGAAUUAUUAUGAGCAGUGUGUACGCGAUGAAGCCAGCAAGGUGAUACCUAAGGUAGACUGCAGCACUGGUCUUUAUGUCCCACCUCCUGCUCAAUUGAUUGGUGAAUCUCAGAAUCAGGUUAAGUUUCCCAAUCAGUCUACUCCUUUUUCUCCUGUGCUUGUUCAACAGGGAGAUUACAAGACCGACUCAAGGAACACAUACAAUAACAAGUUGCCACAUGGUGGUGAUGAAUGUCCAGUGUCGGUUAGCAGCACCCAAUCAGUACCUGAAAAUCCGAGUGGAUGCACUAAUAUUGGUUAUUAUGCCCCGCAGAUAAACCUGAUAAAUUUGCAGAGUCCUAACAAAAAAGAUGAUAUCCCCCAGCCAAGCCAAUCGAGUGAAUUGCUUUCACAUCACCAUGGUCUCAGCAGAGACUUUGUUCCUCCUACAUUGGAACAAUGUGAUGGAAUCUUUCAACAGUACGCUUUUGAAAGAACAGAACCCAAGGAAGGGACAGUCCUAUCUGAAGAGCCGAAUGAUGAAAUGGCUGUAUUGCUGGGAUACACUUCCGCUGUUGCUCAAAAUGGAAUUCCGCAUGCCUUUUCGGAUUCAAAACUUCAAGAACAUGGAAAAGGAUCACCUUACUGCUCACAAGAGGGAAUAAUCUCAUUUUCCUCUUUGAACUUUUUACCAGCUCAGUUAUCUUCACAUGGUGUGUCUGCUGCUCUGCAGGGAAACCUAGGGUAUCUGCAUCAGAAUACAUACCCAGUCAGUUCUCAUCAUCACAUUAGGGUACUUAAUGGGGAAUCAAAUGAGGCCACUGACAUGGUGGAUUUGCCAGAGUUGCCUUUUGACUCAGAUUCACUGAAUAAAUGUGGACCUAUGCAAAGAAAUAUUAAUGGAACAGACACCAGAUGCAACACAGCUAAAGCAAAUUUGGAAAAUUACCAUCCUGGUCUGAAAAAUUCAAGUUGUGAGAUGGUGAGUGCAUGUGAUAUCAAUAAUGCACUUCCAUGUCGUGAUGGUAAAUUUCCUGAUAACAAAUCAUCCAAAACAGCUGUGGGUUCAGAGAAAAAACUAUCUGAUGCUAACUCUGCUAUGGUGUCUAAUAAUGGAGGUGAUAUACCUGGUGAAGCAUCACAAAAUUUUGACAUGAACAUCAUUGCACCAACACCUUUAAUUAAUACACUAAAUGAGCGGUCCCAAAGAAACCAAUUUGAGAAUGCCUCAGGGGGGAUAAAACAGGCUGAACCUGAGAACAAUACAUCCUGGGUCAAGAGUUCUGAAGUUGCUGGGAGGAUUUCAAAUUCUGAAAUGCAGUUUCAUGGUGCAGAAACUCUGAGUGAUCUACUGCCUGAGUUGUCUGAUGGCCUGAUUUCCCAUCUUUCCCCCAUGCCAGCAGUCGUUGCAUGUCCUCGAGAUACUUUUGCCAAAGAACCUUUGCUAGUAUUCUCUGAGGAAUUGUCACAAUCAUCAGUUAGGCAAAACCCAACCAAGGAUGCUGCUUUUAGGAGAGAAGUUUCUCUAAUUGAUGAAGAAUUUACUAAUUACAGUGAUCAGAAUGUUGUGACUUCUGGCAUUGGUGAAUUUUCUAGUGAAAAGCAAAAGAUAGAAGAUGCUCCAGCUAGUAAGAGUAUCAAAGAUAGCCAGCAGGUUCUGAAUGCAAAUGGAAGAGAUAUUAGAUCACCCAGUGGUGACUUAUAUGCUGCAAAUCUCCGAGAUUUGGAAACCAUUGGUGGUGAAGUCAUAUCUGCUGGUGCUACAGAAGGGGUAGCAUUUUCCCCUGACUUGGGGUUGGAGGCGCAGGACGCCAACCCCAGUGACGGAGAUAAGGAUAAUUUAAUCACUGAUGCUAUGAUAGCUGAGCUGGAAGCUGAUUUGUAUGGUUUACAGAUCAUAAAAAAUGCUGACCUUGAAGAAUUGAAGGAGUUGGGUGCUGGGACAUAUGGUACUGUUUACCAUGGAAAAUGGAGAGGAACAGAUGUAGCUAUAAAGAGAAUCAAGCGGGCAUGUUUUUCUGGGAGAUCAUCACAGGAAGAAAGGCUGAUCAAGGACUUCUGGAGAGAGGCACAGAUCCUCUCAAACCUUCAUCAUCCUAACGUGCUUGCAUUUUAUGGAGUGGUUCCUGAUGGGGCUGGGGGAACUUUGGCAACAGUGACUGAAUUCAUGACUAAUGGAUCACUUCGAAACGUUCUUAUUAAAAAGGACAGGUCACUUGAUGGUUAUAAGAAACUUCUAAUUGCCAUGGAUGCAGCUUUUGGGAUGGAGUAUUUGCACUCGAAAAACAUUGUCCACUUUGAUCUGAAGUGUGACAAUUUGUUAGUUAGUCUGAGGGACCCACAACGACCUGUAUGCAAGGUUGGAGAUUUUGGACUGUCAAGGAUUAAACGCAAUACUCUUGUAUCUGGAGGUGUACGAGGUACUCUUCCCUGGAUGGCACCUGAACUGUUAAAUGGUAGCAGUAACCGAGUAUCUGAGAAGGUUGAUGUUUUCUCAUUUGGCAUAACAAUGUGGGAGAUCUUGACUGGGGAAGAACCCUAUGCAAACAUGCAUUGUGGGGCAAUCAUUGGGGGGAUUUUGAAGAAUACUCUUCGGCCUCCAAUGCCAGAGCGGUGUGAUCCCGAGUGGAGGAAGCUGAUGGAACAGUGCUGGUCUGCUGAUCCUGAAGCUCGGCCAUCAUUCACGGAGAUUAGAAAUAGGUUGAGUUCUAUGUCAGCUGCUGUCCAGGCAAAGGGGAAUAGCAAUUCAGCAGGACAUGUCAAUGCAAACAUCCCCGUGUAAGUCGUAAGGAAAUGUACCUGCUUCUGUACUUUCGAUCAACUUGGCGGAAGCAUUUGGAAAUAGACGUCUUCUUUAUUUUGCUAAUAGAGUGCACUGGUGUAUAUAGACGUGUACUCAAGGAAACGAGUGUAUCUUUUUGUUACUUUGCUACAGACUUGGAAUCUUCUAUAUGAGUCGCUCGUACAUUUAAUUACCA